GUGGUUACUGGGGUUCAGAGAGGCCUGGGGGAAGAGGGAAGGGACAGGGUAGGUGACGGACAGAGGAAGCCUCAUCACCUGUUCCACAACCACCAGGGAUUAGGGACUGAGCUGAGGCCACAAGGAACUGAAGAUAGAGAGCAUGGCUGGGAGCCUGAGGGUGCAGGGAUAAGGAGGAAGGAGCUCCUAAUGCCCCCAGGGUUACCACCUGAGGACACAGGCAACACCACUUGGGGACUUUCCCAGGCCUCCUCCUGGCUCCCUGCCAGGCUUCCUCUCAGCCUCCCUCUAGGCCCCUCCUCCAUACCUCAGCCUACAUCCUCUGUGCUCUGCACACACCCUGCCAGACUCGCUUCCCACCCCUCCUGCUGGCCUGACCGCCCCAGGCCAGAGCCAGCUGAGCCCUGUCUCAGCCCUGGGGGUGGUGCUGUUUCUCGGGUGCUGCUCCCAGUGCCUGGAUCUGGGGACUAACAGUGGCUGGGUCGUCCCCACCUGCUUCUUCAUCACCUGUGCCACACUAGCCGGGCAGUGACACAACUUCACACCACGAAUUCAGUCCCUUCUCUCCACCCCUCCUGCUGUGGCCUCCUAGACAUGUGACCUGGGUAGUCACACAGAGCACCAGGCUCAGGAGGGCCCUGCAUGCAGAACUAUGGGUCUGAAGUGUUAGUUGGCUGGGGUGUCUCUCUGCCCGAGCUCUCCUGUGGUUCCCUCUGCUCCAGCUCUCAGGGCCGGGGCAGACCUGCAAGGUUCUGCUCUGGUCCUGCUGGCUGCCUUCCAGCCAUUCACUAGAUGCCUGCCAAACUGGUUCCUAACCUAAUGUGAAUGCCCAGACAAGCUGCUUAGGCAUCACCUCCUCCAGGAAGGCCACCCUGUCCUCCCCUUCCCAGAGGGUCAUGUGAGCAGAGUGCUGGGUGGGCUCAGGGCUGGGCGCAGCUGAAGUGAACCCUGACCUCUGGUGGGUGCAUCCAGAGCUCUGUGCUCAGUCUCUCACUUCCCGAUCAGUGCUAGGACAGGCCCACCUCCCUGACUCGGGCCUUCUCUUGGCUCCUGGGUCUUCUUCCCCCAUUUGCCUGUUCCCAAGCCUCAGUGGGAAGGACUGCAGAAGCUCAGCCAAACUGGAGGGAAGAAAAAGCAAAUCUGAAGGCAGCAGGAGGGGAAUUAAGUAACAGAGCAGAAAUGAGGACACAGCAUCCAAAGGACCACUAGAGAGGACCAUCCAGACAGCGCAGGGCAAAGCGGACACAGCCCUCGGAAGAGGACGGCGUCCCCGCUGUCCCUUACGUAAAGAGACUCCUUGCGGAGGCUGCGAGGCCACCAUUCGGCAGCGAGCUGUGACGUCACUGAAUUCGAGCCAAUGGAACCAGACUAGGGCUGUGAGCUCCGCCCUCUCGGUCCAGCUCCGCCCCCUGGGCCAAGUUCCCGGACCUCCCAUUUCCUGACGGGCGGAGGGGUUGGAAUCAGGGCCCGGCGACCCGGUGGAGAGAGAAACGCCUGACUUGUCGAGUCUCUUACGUUUACGCCGCCGCAGCUGGGCGGAGGUCUCCAAAAAACAGCGAAGCCAGAAGUACGUAACAGCGAACAGAAUCCCAGUGCAAUAAAAACCACCAGGGAUGGAUGUGGGUGGUGAUCGGAGUAUCUUCCCUAGCGUCUCCGUGUGUUACGAGAAACAGGGGCGGGGGGAAGUCAUGUGAUCGUCUCAUCAGAGACAGAAAAACAUUCUAAAAAAUUCAGUACGUGCUCAUGAUUAAGAAAAAAAAAAAACAAGAAUUCUCAACAAAUCAGGAAGGGGGGAAUUUCUUCACCUGGUGUGGCAGAUACUGAGCCUCGCUCAUCCGGCUCCUGUCCUAGUGCUUUCUUGAACUCUCAGAGGCUGGAGGCUAAAGCCCCCUUUUUCAGACUCGCCUGUGACCUGGUUUCUGCCGUGCUGUGUCCACUAGGAGAGCCCCUGGUGUGCUGGCAUGUUUACUGGCUGUAAAGCAAAAAAGCCCAAUUUUCUAUCCUUCCUGGAGCCUCUGGACCAUGCAAACACUUACAACAAAACCCCUUUCUGCUU